rnacentral:tRNA from 1 species
GGUGCGGUAGCCAAGUGGUAAGGCACAGCUCUGCAAAAGCUGCAUCGGCGGUUCGAUUCCGCCUCGCACCUCCA